AGAGUUUGAUCCUGGAAAGGAUGAACGCUAGCUACAGGCUUAACACAUGCAAGUCGAGGGGCAGCAUGAAUCAAGCUUGCUUGAUUUGAUGGCGACCGGCGCACGGGUGCGUAACACGUAUCCAAUCUACCCAUGGCUCAGGGAUAGCCUUUCGAAAGAAAGAUUAAUACCUGAUGGUUUCAUGAUUCCGCAUGGACUUAUGAAUAAAGAUUUAUCGGCGAUGGAUGAGGAUGCGUCCGAUUAGCUUGUUGGCGGGGUAACGGCCCACCAAGGCGACGAUCGGUAGGGGCUCUGAGAGGAGGAUCCCCCACAUUGGAACUGAGACACGGUCCAAACUCCUACGGGAGGCAGCAGUGAGGAAUAUUGGUCAAUGGGCGAGAGCCUGAACCAGCCAAGUAGCGUGAGGGAUGACUGCCCUAUGGGUUGUAAACCUCUUUUGUUUGGGAAUAAAGUGAGCCACGUGUGGCUUUUUGUAUGUACCUUACGAAUAAGCAUCGGCUAAUUCCGUGCCAGCAGCCGCGGUAAUACGGAAGAUGCGAGCGUUAUCCGGAUUUAUUGGGUUUAAAGGGAGCGUACGCGGGUCUUUAAGCCAGCGGUCAAAUGUCAGGGCCCAACCUUGGCAUGCCGUUGGAACUGGGGACCUUGGAAUACACACAAGGAAGGUGGAAUUCGUCGUGUAGCGGUGAAAUGCUUAGAUAUGACGAAGAACUCCGAUUGCGAACGCAGCCAUUCUGGGGG
rnacentral:rRNA from 1 species